GGCGUUGAAAAUUUUCUUGCGGGAAGAUUGGAGCCGUUGGUGAGAUACCACUCUAACAAUGCUAGGAUUCUAACCCUACACCGUUAUCCGGUUAGGGGACAGUUUCAGGUGGUCAGUUUGACUGGGGCGGUCGCCUCCCAAAAGGUAACGGAGGCGUGCAAAGGUUUCCUCAGGCUGGUCGGAAAUCAGUCGUAGAGUGUAAAGGCAUAAGGAAGCUUGAUUGUGAGACCUACAAGUCGAACAAAGACGAAAGUCGGCCUUAGUGAUCCGACGGUUCCGAGUGGAAGGGCCGUCGCUCAACGGAUAAAAGUUACUCUAGGGAUAACAGGCUGAAAUCA
rnacentral:rRNA from 1 species